CCCGCUCUCCAGCUGAGGAAGCCCUGAUCCUUCUCCUGCUUGCACAUGAGCAGGAGGAACCAGGCUCCUUCAGCUGGGGGGGGGGGG